GUACUUGCUUGGCAGUACUUAUACAAAAAAAUGGGAGGAUACAAAGAUUAGUGUGGCCCCUGUGCAAGAAUGACUUACAAAUUUGUGAAUUGUUCCAUAUUUUU
rnacentral:snRNA from 1 species